UACGUAGGAGGCGAACGUUAUUCGGAUUUACUGGGCGUAAAGGGAGCGUAGGCGGUUCCUCAAGUCGAAUGUGAAAUCUUCUGCCUCAAUCAGAAGGCGCCAUUUGAUACUGGGGGACUUGAGAGCAGCAGAGGGAAAUGGAAUCUCCAGUGUAGCGGUGAAAUGCGUAGAUAUUGGAGAGAACACCAGUGGCGAAAGCGAUUUCCCAGGCUGCUUCUGACGCUGAGGUUCGAAAGCGUGGGGAGCGAAGCGGAUUAGAUACCCGCGUAGUCCACGCCCUAAACGGUGGACACUAGAUAUAGGAGGUAUCGACCCUUUCUGUGUCGAAGCUAACGCUUUAAGUGUCCCGCCUGGGGAGUACGGCCGCAAGGCUGAAACUCAAAGGAAUUGACGGGGGUCCGCACAAGCAGCGGAGCGUGUGGUUUAAUUCGAUGCUACACGAAGAACCUUACCAGGACUUGACAUGUCAGAAGUAGGAUUCCGAAAGGAGGACGACCUGUAUCCAGUCAGGAGCUGUCACAGGUGCUGCAUGGCUGUCGUCAGCUCGUGCCGUGAGGUGUUGGGUUAAGUCCCGCAACGAGCGCAACCCUUGUCCCAUGUUAAAUUCUCAUGGGAGACUGCCUUGUACAGCAAGGAGGAAGGAAAGGAUGACGUCAAGUCGGCACGGCCUUUAUGUCCUGGGCCACACACACGCUACAAUGGACGAUACAGAGGGUUGCCAAGGAGCGAUCCGGAGCUAAUCCCCUAAAAUCGUCCCCAGUUCGGAUUGUAGGCUGAAAUCGCCUGCAUGAAGUCGGAGUUGCUAGUAACCGCAGGUCAGCUAUACUGCGGUGAAUACGUUCUCGGACCU
rnacentral:rRNA from 1 species